GACGAACGCUGGCGGCGUGCUUAACACAUGCAUGUCGAACGAUGAAGCCGGAGCUUGCUCUGGUGAAUUAGUGGCGAACGGGUGAGUAACACGUGAGUAACCUGCCCUUGACUCUGGGAUAACUGCUAGAAAUGGUAGCUAAUACCGGAUACGACCCUCGGAGGCAUCUCCAGGGGGUGGAAAGAAUUUCGGUCAAGGAUGGACUCGCGGCCUAGCAGCUAGUUGGUGAGGUAACGGCUCACCAAGGCGACGACGGGUAGCCGGCCUGAGAGGGUGACCGGCCACACUGGGACUGAGACACGGCCCAGACUCCUACGGGAGGCAGCAGUGGGGAAUAUUGCACAAAGGGCGCAAGCCUGAUGCAGCAACGCCGCGUGAGGGAUGACGGCCUUUGGGUUGUAAACCUCUUUUAGUAGGGAAGAAGCGAAAGUGACGGUACCUGCAGAAAAAGCACCGGCUAACUACGUGCCAGCAGCCGCAGUAA
rnacentral:rRNA from 1 species